rnacentral:rRNA from 1 species
AUUGAACGCUGGCGGCAUGCUUUACACAUGCAAGUCGAACGGUAACAGGCCGCAAGGUGCUGACGAGUGGCGAACGGGUGAGUAGUGCAUCGGAACGUGCCCAAUCGUGGGGGAUAACGCAGCGAAAGCCGUGCUAACACCGCAUACGAUCUGUGGAUGAAAGCGGGGGACUCGCAAGGGCCUCGCGCGAUUGGAGCGGCCGAUGUCAGAUUAGGUAGUUGGUGAGGUAAAGGCUCACCAAGCCAACGAUCUGUAGCUGGUCUGAGAGGACGACCAGCCACACUGGGACUGAGACACGGCCCAGACUCCUACGGGAGGCAGCAGUGGGGAAUUUUGGACAAUGGGGGCAACCCUGAUCCAGCAAUGCCGCGUGCAGGAAGAAGGCCUUCGGGUUGUAAACUGCUUUUGUACGGAACGAAACGGUCUGGGUUAAUACCCUGGGCUAAUGACGGUACCGUAAGAAUAAGCACCGGCUAACUACGUGCCAGCAGCCGCCGUAA